GACACCUGGAAAAAGAGAAAGCUGCGCCACAAAAGAACAAUAUCCCUUACCACCUGCGUCGUCUUCUCCAAGCGACCUCUCCUUUCUUCUUCGAACCAGAAGCAACCCAGUAACAGCCAACUCUAGCUACAUCGACGACCACCCUCCUGCACUUCUCCAAAUGACCAUACACACACAACCCAUACACGUACAGAAACGAGAAAGGGAUAGUAGUGAACUAGUUGAGCUUUUGUGAGCAUGAGAGGAACGUGAAAUUGGUUUCAAGCUUUGCUUGGAUUAUUUCAGAUAUUGUCCAUGAAAUUUGUUUAGAAAUCAUGUUUGAGAUGCUGUGGGAGGCAAGGUUGUUCGUCGAGGUUCGAUUUGAGAUCGUAGUCUUAGGUUCCCGGCCAGAUUCCCAUUUGUUUUCCGACUAAACAGAAAUGUAAUCUCGGAGUUUCAUUAAUUGGAAAGUUAUCGCUCUUUGAAGGUCCAUUUUUUAUCGCUCUUUGAAAGUCCAUUGCUUGUUUUGAUUUCUAAAUAUUCCCUCUGUGCUCUUGUUAUUAAUUUUGAUGAUUUUGGUUGUUAGUAGCUUCUUCUUCAUUUUGUCACCUUCAUGCGUAGAUGACCACGUAAACAAAUAGCUUCAUUAGCUUUGUUUCCAUGUUGUUUAAGCAAGGAAAUAGACAAUUGUAUUUUAUUAGCUUUGUUUAGCGAUGAUGUUUACUGUUUUUUUUAAACAAUUUUGUAGCUUAUAAAUGUUAUCCCAUCUCUAUCUUUAAUUGUGUAAAAUGAAAACUUAUGAAAAGGAAAA
rnacentral:lncRNA from 1 species